rnacentral:rRNA from 1 species
UGGGGAAUUUUGCACAAUGGGGGAAACCCUGAUGCAGCGACGCCGCGUGAUUUAGAAGGCCUUCGGGUUGUAAAAAUCUUUUUUACGGGAUGAAAAUGACAGUACCGUAAGAAUAAGGUCCGGCUAAAUACGUGCCAGCAGCCGCGGUAAUACGUAUGGACCGAGCGUUGUCCGGAAUCAUUGGGCGUAAAGGGUACGUAGGCGGCCUAGUAAGUUAGAAGUGAAAUAAUAUAGCUCAACUAUAUAAAGCUUUUAAAACUGCUAGGCUUGAGAGAUGGAAGGGAAGGUGGAAUUCCUAGUGUAGCGGUGAAAUGCGCAGAUAUUAGGCAGAAUACCGGUGGCGAAGGCGACUUUCUGGUCAUCAUCUGACGCUGAGGUACGAAAGCGUGGGUAGCAAACAGG